AUAUUAUCUUAACAACGGUUAACAAGAAAAGUAAAUGAGCCGUGAAAAAUAACAACUGUAUCUUCCAAUUAGGUUGCUAAAGACUUUAGGAGGAGAAAGUUCCUCUCUGUACUGGAGGCAGACAUAGCUAAAAGAAGUGAUGGGGUUAAGAUCAAGUGUUGGCCACAGAGACCACACCAUCUUGAAGGGGAGAGCAGCUGUGAUUGGAAGCCCAGCCUUAUCUUCACCUGGGGUGACCUUGGAUACCACCUGGGACCCUACAGCCACAACAUCCAGGGACCAGCUGCCUUGGCUGUGAACCCACAAACACCGAGACUCCAGCCUCCCCGGCUGUGGGCACCUAAAAAGUUUGUCCAGCGGGAGACAAAAUGGCGCUGAAUACCGCAGAGGGGCCCUGCACCUUCUCACAGAGAAGGUAGAAGGAACAGCUGAAUCCAUCCACCUGGAAUUGGUGAAUUAAACACAGCUGCCAUGCCCUACAGCCCCACCCGAGGAGCAGAGUACAAGCCAUGGCUGCCUUCAAAUGGAGACGCCCAGGGAAGCGGGCGAUGCUGAUUAAGAACCAGCCUGGGAGAGAGGGUCAUGGUUCCUCUGAAACAAGAGUGCAGGAGUGGCAGAGGCCCAGUGCAUGAAAUCGCAUGAGAACCCAGACCCGCCAGGCUGCCAUGGGGGCAAGAUCCCAGACCCACUGUGCAGCUGCAGGUGUGGGACCCCAGACCCACCAUGCCGCCUCAGGACCCCGGCCUGCCGCGCCGCGAGACCCAUCAAUGCAC